rnacentral:rRNA from 1 species
AAUGAACGUUGGCGGCAUGGAUUAGGCAUGCAAGUCGAGCGAGAAGUGUAGCAAUACACGGAAAGCGGCGGAAGGGAGAGUAAUACGUGGGAAUCUGCCCUUAGACCUGGGAUAGCAGCGGGAAACUGCUGGUAAUACCAGAUAAUGUCUAUGGCCCAAAGGUGUGAUUCCGUCUAGGGAUGAGCCCACGUCCUAUUAGCUAGUUGGUAGGGUAAUGGCCUACCAAGGCGAGGAUGGGUAGCGGGUGUGAGAGCAUGACCGGCCUCACUGGGACUGAGACACUGCCCAGACACCUACGGGUGGCUGCAGUCGAGAAUCUGCGGCAAUGGGCGCAAGCCUGACCGAACGAUGCCGCGUGCGGGAUGAAGGCCUUCGGGUUGUAAACCGCUGUCGAGGGGGAGCAACUUCCAUAGAGUUAUCUUUAUGGAUUGAGUGAUCCCUGGAGGAAGGACGGGCUAAGUUCGUGCCAGCCGCCGCUGUAAAAC